CUGCUCACUGCUGUGCAGAGGCCGAGGUAAUGCGUGGGGGGCCAGCUGUGUCCGGAUUGCUUGGGCGUAAAGAGCGUGGAGGUGGCUUUGCAAGUCCUUUGUGAAAACGCGAGGCUCAACCGCGAGACGCCUGUGGAAACUGCAAAGCUAGAGUCCGGAAGGGGAGAGUGGAAUUCCUGGUGUAGCGGUGAAAUGCGCAGAUAUCAGGAGGAACACCCGUGGCGAAGGCGGCUCUCUGGGACGGUACUGACGCUGAGACGCGAAAGCGUGGGGAGCGAACAGGAUUAGAUACCCUAGAGUC
rnacentral:rRNA from 1 species